GAUCUUGAAGGUCCAUCAACACCAUCAUAGCCACCUGCUUGAGAGCCACUCAGGAGCAGCAGGACCAACCCCCAUCAGUCUCAGGGAGGGGCCCAUUGGGAACAGGAACCGGAUGAGCCAGGUACCAUGGCUCAAACUCAGCUCAUUCGGCAUGGAAGCAAGCAAAGUUACCCACUGAGCCUUCACGUAGCAUUCUUACACUGGUGGGACUCUCUUCGAAAAGACACAAAUGCCUCAGAGAGAGCAGAGCAGGCAGACUGAAGCUCUGUCAGCAAAUAAAAUCGAAUCAGCCUGACUUGUGAUAUUUACUGGCUUGCAGCAACCCGACCGCAGGUAUGGAUCUUGGCUACCAGUGCUUGGUCUAAGGACCGCUUUGCUGUGUGGCGUUCUUGUGGCUCUGGCUAACUGGUACCCAGGAGACGGUCCAGCACAUCUCCAAGAGGACAUCCAAAUGGCCUACC
rnacentral:lncRNA from 1 species